UACAGAGGGGGCAAGCGUUAUUCGGAAUUAUUGGGCGUAAAGCGCGCGUAGGCGGCUACUUAUGUCGGAUGUGAAAGCCCUUGGCUCAACUGAGGAAGUGCACCCGAAACUGAGUAGCUGGAGUACGAAAGAGGGUCGCGGAAUUCCCGGUGUAGAGGUGAAAUUCGUAGAUAUCGGGAGGAACACCGGUGGCGAAGGCGGCGACCUGGGUCGAUACUGACGCUGAGGCGCGAAAGCGUGGGGAGCAAACAGG
rnacentral:rRNA from 1 species